rnacentral:lncRNA from 1 species
GCUCUCUAAAAACUGGCCCACCUUCCUUUUUUUUCUCCUGAGUGACAUAAGUAAUGUCUCCCCUGAGAUGUUUGAGAUGUUUAGUAAGUAACUUUUUUUCUCAAGGGAGCUUGAAUAUUGAAGAGAGGAAUUGACCUAAGAUCAGCAAGGACUCACAAAUCCAAGAGCUUUUGGUGGUUCCUUCUGUUAGCAUGCAUGAGCUAGCCUUGUACAACUGAUCUCGGACAGAGACUCCUAACAGGACCGAUAGUUAUUGGCAGUGGUUGCUUUUCAACAGCACUUUACAGCCAUGGAGAUUCCAGGAUCUCUUAUAGUUGAGUCCCAAGGUUUGCUUCCUCAAAUAACUACAGUGGACCCUCAAAGUUACGAUCAACCUGACAUGUGAACAACUUCGGUUAAUUAGGUUAAUGCAAGGUUCAUUUGCCUUUUGUUAUCUAUAGCAUGUACUCAGAUAAACAUCCAGAUCUCAGCUGUAUGAUUUACAAGCAACUUGAGUUACAUCCCACCCUUGGGAACCAAUUGAAUUUGUAAGCCAAGGGUCCCCUGUACAGUGGUUGGUUGAGUCUCUCAGUUGGUAGGCAACUCAGUCUCUCAAAGCUUCUAUCUAAAGUACAGCUCACAGAAAUUUCCCAUUCUCUGAAGUUGUAUAAAAAGACCAAGCUUGUAAUAUUCCAGGAGCAGUGCCUGGAAUAUUCACAUUCAGCAAAUACUGAUGUUUCAUGAGUGGAGACAGAGCAUUCAUUUGACAAAUUGAUCUAAAAGGUGGUAUCCAAGGUAAAAAUGUUACUGGAAAGAGCAGAUUUUAGUCUAGGGAGGAAAGGGGAGGGGGUCCAUUUGUAGAAAAGCUAUAGUGAAGGAAGUGUUGUGGAACUAGAAUUAUGUAAAGUGUGUCCCUAUGUUCUCGAGGCUGCCAAUGGUAAAAAUCAGACUUACGUAGUUUCCACCAGUUUCCCCUCUAUCACUUUAUUUUUUUCUCACUUCGGGCAUGCCUUAUCUUUUAAAAAGUUACUGAAACCAAAAUUUCAAAACAUGAAUCAAAAUACUAUUCAUAUUAGUAAACAACUUUUUAUCUAAAAGAACUCAAAGACUCUUUAAAAUAAAAUGUUCCUCUAAUGUGUAGUGUAGGUAAUUGACUGCAUGGUAGCAGACUAGAGAAGUAGGACUGGGAAAGAAAACUGUAAUACAAAUGGUACUGUCAGUUGAAACUGGAG